AACCUUAUGGACCUGCGGGCGUAUACCUGCGGAGGGAUCAUUACUGAGUUAGGGUAGUCACUCACUGCCCGACCUCCCAACCCUGUGUCUACCACACUUUGUCGUUGCUUCGGCGGACCGGUUGACCAACUGGUCGUGACCGCCGGGGGCUGGCUCUGUCACCCCUGGAGAGCGUCCGCCGAUGGCCCAACCACAAAACUCUUGUACCGAAACGUGUCGUCUGAAUUAUAUUUGAGAAAU
rnacentral:misc_RNA from 1 species